AUGGACGAGACUCCUGCCGAAGCAAGGCUUAGCGGGAUCAGGCAGGCUGUGCUCCUGCUUGAGAGGUCCCAUCCUUCGGCACCGCUACCGACGCUGGCCGGGUCUGAGUCCAAAGAGAGCUGCCGCAGCGGAGUCGAUGAGCAAAAGGAGGUUAACAAGAUUGUUGAUCGUCAGAUUCGGGUAUUCUUCAAUGUCCCUGGAAGUUCUGUUGCAGAAAUUGAUACACCGGAUUCUUUCUACAAACUUAGUGGUGAGGAGGUAAGGAAUGAGGCAAAGAUGAGGAGGGAAAGGCUGGAACAAUCUCGGUUGCUAAUUCCAAAGUCAUAUAAGGAGAAGCAGGCACUGGCUGCUCGACAGAAGUACAAACAAGCUGUCAUCCGAGUUCAGUUUCCUGAUGGAGUAAUUCUCCAGGGUGUAUUCCUUCCAGCGGAGGCUACUGGUUCACUAUAUGAGUUUGUCGCGGAUGCUUUGAAGCAGCCAGGUUUGGAAUUUGAUCUUAUCUGUCCAGCUGUUCCUAGGUCACGUGUGCUACCGCAUUCCCCAAAUACAGGAGAGCGGGCACGCACGUUGCAAGAUGAAGGCCUAGUACCUUCUGCUCUCCUCAAAUUCAAGCCCAAUGAGACUGAUUCUGUUGUGUUCACCGGCUUGCUUGACAAGCUUCUGGAGGCUAGUGAACCAUUUACAGCUGCAUCCUCUUGA
rnacentral:rRNA from 1 species